UAAUAUUACAUUUUGUUUACAGAAGAAUAAAUGGUCUGUUACAAAAUAUUUUGAAAUGCGUGCAGCAUUUGAAGAGCGACAACCGCCGUCGUGCACCGACUAAACCGGCCAUCCUUCCUAUAUCUUCUCUGGAAGACAUGGAUAUUUUCGAAGAUAUCGAUGAUGAUGGUUAUUCCGAAAUUGUGCAUUACUUUGAGUACAUCGGUGGGUUCACGUUAAAGGAAGCCGUCAAUUUGUGUCUAAAGUAGGCGUUGACAGAUUCUUUAACGCCAUCGUUUACCUGGUGGGGUCGUGAAGGAGGUCCACGAUCUUUAUACAAUACUCGCCUUAUUUUGGCAAUUUACGAUGCUGUGUGCAGUAAUCGUUACAUAAACAAUCCGACUCGAUCGGAGUUUCAAGCACAAAUGCGUGAAGCCUUGCGAACAGCUAAAGAGAGAUGGAGGAGCAGAGCGCGCGGUCCACGGUCUACUCAUCCUGUCAAUCCAAGACCACGCGAUUUUUGGAGCGACGAGCGACAAGAAGAAAACAGGAGAAUAAGAGAUAAUUAAAUUUGAUUACUUUCAGGAGAGGCGAAUCCACGGAUGGAUUGCGUAAGUGAUAGUGGCUGUAUUUGUUUUGACGCUACAAUCACUAAGGUCUGGUUUCACAACUUACUUUAAUCGAAGUUUAAUUCAUUAAUGGAGAAUUCACAUUACAUCUGAUGUCCGAUGUAUUCAAUCGGACGUUGUACAUCGGACGCAAUGUGAAUUUUCCAUUAACGAGUUCAACUCCGGUUAAAGUAAAUUGAGAAACCGGACCUAAAAGCGUUUGAUUGAUCAAUCGGAACAAAGAUUUCUCCGUUCUAAUUAGUCAAUCAAAGGCUUUCAGCACUUUUAGCGCCAAGACGAAAGCGGUCGGUGGACAUCACUAGCGAAGAAACCAAACGGCACUUUUCAGUACCCAUUUUAAAAAUAUUAAAGCUUCUCGGAACUUCCUCGCUUCGCAAACGGUUUUCGAGGCAACCUGGAGUACUUACGGAGAAGAAGGAGGAGAAGGCAACGAAGAAUCUCUACGGAGCAGGCAACAAAGAAGAUUCUAAAUUUAAAAUAUAUAAAUUUUAAACUUAAAAACAGUUGUGUUGGAUAAAUAUUAUUUUAAUUAUUAAAUAAUUUAAAAACUUUAAAAAGUGGUGAAUGUUAUGUUAUAAUU